UAAUCUCACCACCUCGACUUCUUGUCUUGGUGCGUGGACUUGGACGUUGCCGUGUAACAAACGGCUCGUCUUAAAUGCCUGAGUGUACCCUGCCUUGCAGCGUAUUCGGUGUGAUAAAUCUUCACCGGAGUUGGUCUUUGGGACCGCGUUUGUAUCGGCGGCUCUAUGCUUCGAACCGUCUUUGAAAGAGACAACCUUUGACA
rnacentral:misc_RNA from 1 species